GACGUAGGGCGCGAGCGUUGUCCGGAUUUAUUGGGCGUAAAGAGCUCGUAGGCGGCUUGUUACGUCGACUGUGAAAUCCCGCGGCUCAACUGCGGGCUUGCAGUCGAUACGGGCAGGCUAGAGUUCGGUAGGGGAGACUGGAAUUCCUGGUGUAGCGGUGAAAUGCGCAGAUAUCAGGAGGAACACCGAUGGCGAAGGCAGGUCUCUGGGCCAUAACUGACGCUGAGAAGCGAAAGCAUGGGGAGCGAACAGG
rnacentral:rRNA from 1 species